ACCCUUAGUAGCGGCGAGCGAAGUGGGUAAAGCUCAAGUUUAAAACCUGUUUGUCCUAGACAAACCGGAUUGUAAACUAAGGACGUGCUAUCCAGGCUCUUUGGACCUUCAAGUCCUUUGGAAUAAGGCUUCACAGAGGGUGACAAUCCCGUAGAGGGUCUUGAAAGAGUCUAUUGCGAUGCAUGCUCCAAGAGUCAGGUUGUUUGGGAAUGCAGCCUAAAGUGGGAGGUAAAUCCCUCCUAAAGCUAAAUAUUGGCGAGAGACCGAUAGCAAACAAGUACCGUGAGGGAAAGUUGAAAAGGACUUUGAAAAGAGAGUCAAAAGUACGUGAAAUUGCUUAAAGGGAAGCGUUUGGAGCUAGUUUGGCUAGUCUGUUAUCAGCCUGAGCUUCGGCUUUGGUGUACUAUCAGGCUAUUUGCCGGCCAACUUUCAGGAUUGGAAGGAAAGCUUAGUGCUUUGGAGUCUAAAGAGACCUUUGCGGAAGCCUCUGGUGGAGCGUUGGUCUGCCUUGGCCCUUCUGAACCUAUAGUUGGCUUAUGGCUCUAACGGCCG
rnacentral:rRNA from 1 species